rnacentral:rRNA from 1 species
GGGUCAGUAGGUUGGUCGUGCCACCGGUACGUACUGGUCUCACUGAUUCCUCCUUCCUGAAGAACCGUAAUGCCAUUAACUUGGUGUUGCGGGGAAACAGGACUGUUACUUUGAAAAAAUUAGAGUGUUUAAAGCAAGCUAACGCUUGAAUACAUUAGCAUGGAAUAACGAAAUAGGACGAUCGAUCCUAUUUUGUUGGUUUCUAGGAUUGACGUA